rnacentral:lncRNA from 1 species
UUGAGAACACCAAGCAUAUAUUUCAAUGUUUCAAUCAUAGGAACUUUGAUCUCCAAUUUGUUGAAGAUCUCCAUAAAGCACUUAUACUUCUUUUCCUUCCUAUGAUUUUUCUUCUGAUGAGGAAUGGGUUUUACAUAUGAUCUUUUCUCCUUUCCUCUCUUCCUCUUUUUCUUAAUUUUUUCCUCCCUCAACUUUCUCUUUCUCUUUUUUCUUUCUUUCUUUGUUUUCGUACUUUUUUUCUUUUUUUUUCUCAACCACUUCUUUUUCUUUCUCCUCAUCUUUCUCUCCCUCACUCAACCUUUCUGUUUCUUCUUCCUCUAUCUUUUCCUCAUCAACAACCUCAUCAAUUUGUGUCUCCAAAUUCCUGAAGGUAACUUCAUAGCUCUUGGAAUCAUACUUCUCCAAAAAUUUGUCGAGCUUUUCAUUAAGGCUUUUGACUUGUUCCGUCACAUCAGCUAUCUGUUGACAUAGGUGUUGAUCG